CAGAGAGAACGAAGGAAAGAAAAUGAAAAUGGAGAUUUUGAUUAAAAUUCUUCCAAAAUUCAUAACUUGAGCUAGAGACCUCCAAAUCACUCCGUUCCAAAGCCAAACCUGUGAGAAAUUUCGAGAGGAAUCUAUUGGUACCAGUAUUUCUGAGUGGGGUUCACUGUAGAGAGAGAUCUUCUCCCCCAAAGAAUUCGAAUUUCAUGGAAAAUAUGGGUUUUGAUGGAGCUUGAAGCCAUGGGAGCUUGAAGCAAGCUUCUCCCUUCAUUCUAGGUGUACCUAGGGACUGUGAACGUUUGGAUUCUCGUGGAGUAUGAUAAGUAGCUUGUUCUUCAAGUAAGCAGAUUGUAAAGCUCAAAGAGGAACACAGUUAAUUGAAGAGCCUCAUGGGACAAGGACACUAACCGUGGCUAGAGGUACUAGUAUGAGGAUGUGGAGUUCUGGGUGGUCGGAUGCUACUAUUUGUUUUAGACGUAUUUUUGGAAAAGAUGUAUUGUUGCAUAGUGUUCAUAUUCGAUACAUGUACAUUUAUGUAUUCAGGCAUGAUGAUAUGACUAUGUAGUAUUCAGUUAUGUUAUGUAUUGGAUUGCAUGCUAUUAGAUUUGUGGCACAGAGCCAAGUUCAGCAUGCGCCC